rnacentral:sRNA from 1 species
AAUGACCAUGCCGAAGACAGUAGGUGCUAUAAAGCGUAAAUCCUACCGAGGAAAAGGAAAAGUUUUAGAUAUGACUUUUAGUUCCCCUUCGGUAUACCGGAGGGUUUUAUAUUUUAU